CUGCGCCGGGCGUGAGUGAGUGUGCGCGCGCUCGCGAGUGUGGUAUGUGCGGGUGUGCGCGCGUGGGGAGGUGCGCGUGCGAGCGGGGCGUGAAGACCCCGCGACUUCCAAGCACCGCCAGAGGCCGGGCCACAGCCGGCUUCAGGGCUGCGAGGCUGCGGCCGGUUUCGGUGCCCACGCGUAAUAAAGUGUUUUCAGUGCCCCGGGGCGGGGGGGGUGCAUGGAACCCUCUCGUUCCCGGGCUCAGCCUCAGAGCGUAAGGAGGUGUUCGCCCCCACCCCCACUCCUGUGGCCCCGCCCACUGCGCGCCCGAGGUCCCGCUCCCGGAGAGCGGGUCCCCGCCGUCCCGCUCCCCGGGAGGCUCGGGCCUUAGGAAGGGGGUGGGGGCGAGAGCCAGUGCCCCUGGCCGCUCAGGUCUUGGGGGGGCAGGCCCCAUCCCUCACUGAGCCUCCGUUUCUAGACUCUGAACCCGUGGGGAGUCUCCUCCGGUUCCUGCAGCGGGGAGCGCGGCGACAGAAAUGCGUCCCGGCCCACGCCGCCACCUCGGGGCUGUGUCAGCUCCGCCCGGGAGCAGGUGACGGCCCAGCCACCGGGUCGCAGCGCGGUCGCGCGGGUGGAGCCGGCUUCACCGGACGCGGGUUUUCUCCGAGAGAGAGCUACAUCCUGCCUCCCAGUGCCAGCCGGGGUGGCCCCUGUCCAACCGCGUGCUGCCCGCGUUCUCCCGGGACGGCUGCAGGCCGGCCCCUGGCGCUCCGAGUUUCAGAUCGGCCACGGCGGCCGGGAGCAUCAACCCCAUUUUCCGGAGGGGAAAACAGAGGCGAGGCGAGGAGAGACCACACCGUCUGAAAGAGCACGCUGAGGAGGCAGACGCACGGGGGCGGCACCGGGAGGACUGGAGCUAACGCCCACACCCCACCGGGAGCCUUCCGGGGAGCGCGGCCCCCGGACACCCCCAUCUCGGACUUCUGGACUCCAGAGCUGAGGGACAGUCGCUCUCUGCCGUCCUGAGCCCCCCCCCCAGUGUGUGGCCCCGAGUUCCAGCAGCCCCCGCCCGGCUGCCGCGCCUCACACCUGCACCAGCCCCGAACGGGGCGCCUCUCCUCCGCACCCCUGCCGACAGGCCGCGUACCUCCUUUUUCUUUCUUUCUUUUUUUUGCCAGACGAAUGGGCAUACAGCGGCACCUAAGCCUGGGCUGCUCCCGACGGUUCGGCCGGGACUGGAGGCUCGGCCCGGGGAGACCCUACGGACGCCAGCUCCUCGUCCGAGACGCUCUCCCGCCAUGCCGCGUCUCGCUACAGGGCCUGCUCGGAACAUCCACUCCGCCCUUGGCAGAAGCUUGAUACCUCGAGUGUGACAAAGAUUUUGAAGGAGAGGAGGCUCGGGUUUCCUCCCUGGCCCCGCCCGAGCUCCAUGGGGCUGCAAGCCCCCCCCCCCCCCCGACCCCGGCCACCAGCAUCCCUGUGGGGGCGCCCGGCCCUGGCCACACUACUGAAUCACAAACUGGGCCACUUAAAACAACAGAAAUGGAUUGUCUCAGAGUCCAGGGGGCCAGGAGUCCGACAUCGGUGUUGCUGGGCCGAAAUCAAGUGUCCACCCGGUCGUGCUCCUCUGGGGCUCUAGGCAGUGAUGGGCUUGUGGCCGCCCUGCCCCACCUCUGCCUCUGUCUUCCCUCUGUGUGUGUGUGUGUGUGUGUGAUCUGUCUCCCGUUUAUUAGCAUACGUGUAAUUGCAUUUAAGGCCCAUGUGGGUAAUCCUGGAUAAUCUCAACAUCCUCAACUAAUCACAGCUACAAAGACCCUUUUCGCACCCAA